GUCCCCACCCAAAUCUCAUCUUGAAUUCCCACAUGUUGUGGGAGGGACUUGGUGGGAGGUAAUUGAAUCAUGGGGGUAGGUCUUUCCUGUGCUGUUCUCAUGAUAGUACAUAAGUUGCAUGAGAGCUGAUGGUUCUAUAAGGGGAGCUUUCCUGCACAAACUCUUUCUUUGCCUGCUGCCAUCCAUCUAAGAUGUGACUUGCCUCUCCUUGUCUUCCACCAUGAUUGUGAGGCUUUCCCAGUCACAUGGAACUGUCAGCAAUGUGGGUGACAGAUACUUCUUUUUGCUGUUGGAACACUUCAUAUUCAUCUCUGGUAUUGUCAUGGCCUUUGACAUACCUUACCAACAAGAGAGUCAGAGCCACAGGAUGAACUUUCUCAACCCAUCCUCUUUAAGGAAAAGAAGUUGUUGGCUGAGUCACGAGGACCUUAUGUAUGCCAAGAACAUCGUUUUUGCCUCCUUAGGUGAAACUUUAUUUCCCACAUUUAGGAUUCAUUAGGAUUAUCUAAGAUUUUUCAAGUUUUUCAGGUAUGUCUGGUCAAGUUUUCUGUGGAUAUUAGCAACUAUCAAGUAUGAAGAUUAUAGAACAACAAAAAAAGCAACAUUACAUGUUUAUGUCUUGCUCUGGAAGUCGAGAUUUUUAUUUCCUUGUGAAAUAGAUAAUAAAAAAAUAAAAUUAACAAUGUAUAUACACCAUGGUUCUUUGUAACCCGAGUGUCACAAAGAGCUCUAUAAAAUAUCUGAAGUGCUUGAGGUUGCCUAGAGGGAAAAGGUAAAGAUUCUCACUACAGAGCUAAUAGUUCCUGCUCAACAAUUUGAAUUUCACUUAAGAAUAAACCUGAGAGCCCACAUCUGGGAGAGCAUGUUUACCUUUAAUGUAGCAGUUUGGAGGUGGAGGCAUUCCUGGAAGAGAACAAUGCCUGAUGCAUUAUAGGCACAAAAAUAAAGAUUUGUUGAUGACACCGAAGCCCUGCCUCCACACCAACAUUCUCUCAAUUCACAAAUACUAUCAAAGGAAGAAAACUCUAGAACUCCAUUAGAGUGGAUAUCUCCCCGCUCUUAAUCUCCCAGAGAUCAUUGUUUCCUAUUUCCAUGGAAACUAGAAGACUUGAAAUUGCCAAAACUUGAGAGACACUUGAGAUGAAAGCCAGAAAAAAAAAAUUAACAAAAGACAAAUGUUACAGGCAGCAUGUAUGACAGUGUGGUAAAGUUUCUGACAUUUGUUUGGGAAGAUUUUCUUAUUUCUUUGCUUGGAAGAAUGCAAUGAUUUCCAGAAUGUGGCCAUAAUAGCUUCACACCAUGCUGCUGAAUGUUCAUCGAGUAGAUUUUACUCUUUUCUAGAAAGGAAAGGAAAGACCCAUGGGCCUUGGCAGCAAUCAAGUGAAUGUUAAGCUGUUGGAAAUUGCUCUCCUGGCACACCUUGAUGUUAACCACAAUGAGGAGGCCAGUCUGGCUGAAGUGCCCUUGCUCCCUCCCUUCCAUGCAGUGAACAAAUAUUUAUUGAGCACCUACUAUUCUCCAGGUAAUGUGUCCUACAUACAACUAAAUGAAAAAUUACAACUCAGAUAAGAGCCCCUAGGAGAAGUACACGUAACUACUAGAGUGUGUAAUAGACAGAACUGACCUGUCAGGGCGGCCAGGCUUUCCUAAGGAAGUGUGAUUAAGCCGAGCAGGAGGAAACUAGGCAGUGGUUGUGGGGCCUGGGGAAGGAGAACAUUCCAGGGAGCAGGAACUCUUGGGCAAAGGCCUCUGGAGGAAGUGAGUGUUAAAGGAAUUGAAAGUAGGCCUGAGUAGCCUGUGUUGGCAGAGCUCCAGAGAGCAAAGGGAAUGAACUUGGGGUAAGGCCAUUUGGAGAGGUGGGCAGGGACCAGGUCAUUCCUAAUGCACAGUCUUGAGUCUUGCAGGGCAGGCUUGUUAAGGAUUUGGUUUCUAACCCUCCCCUCUCCAGGGUGAACUCAAGCUGUCAUAGGAGUGCAUGGCAUACAGUCCUUGUGUGUGACCUGGGAAUGCAGAUUUUGUUUCAUCUGAAAUCUGUCAAAACAUUGCCAUAGAUUUCAGAAGUGAACCACCAAGUUCCAAAGGUUAUAAUUUCAUUAAAUGCUUUAAAC
rnacentral:lncRNA from 1 species